GACACGGCCCAGACUCCUACGGGAGGCAGCAGUGGGGAAUAUUGCACAAUGGGCGAAAGCCUGAUGCAGCAACGCCGCGUGAGGGAUGACGGCCUUCGGGUUGUAAACCUCUUUUAGCAGGGAAGAAGCGAAAGUGACGGUACCUGCAGAAAAAGCGCCGGCUAACUACGUGCCAGCAGCCGCGGUAAUACGUAGGGCGCAAGCGUUAUCCGGAAUUAUUGGGCGUAAAGAGCUCGUAGGCGGUUUGUCGCGUCUGCUGUGAAAUCCCGAGGCUCAACCUCGGGCCUGCAGUGGGUACGGGCAGACUAGAGUGCGGUAGGGGAGAUUGGAAUUCCUGGUGUAGCGGUGGAAUGCGCAGAUAUCAGGAGGAACACCGAUGGCGAAGGCAGAUCUCUGGGCCGUAACUGACGCUGAGGAGCGAAAGGGUGGGGAGCAAACAGGCUUAGAUACCCUGGUAGUCCACCCCGUAAACGUUGGGAACUAGUUGUGGGGACCAUUCCACGGUUUCCGUGACGCAGCUAACGCAUUAAGUUCCCCGCCUGGGGAGUACGGCCGCAAGGCUAAAACUCAAAGGAAUUGACGGGGACCCGCACAAGCGGCGGAGCAUGCGGAUUAAUUCGAUGCAACGCGAAGAACCUUACCAAGGCUUGACAUACACCAGAACGGGCCAGAAAUGGUCAACUCUUUGGACACUGGUGAACAGGUGGUGCAUGGUUGUCGUCAGCUCGUGUCGUGAGAUGUUGGGUUAAGUCCCGCAACGAGCGCAACCCUCGUUCUAUGUUGCCAGCACGUAAUGGUGGGAACUCAUGGGAUACUGCCGGGGUCAACUCGGAGGAAGGUGGGGAUGACGUCAAAUCAUCAUGCCCCUUAUGUCUUGGGCUUCACGCAUGCUACAAUGGCCGGUACAAAGGGCUGCAAUACCGUGAGGUGGAGCGAAUCCCAAAAAGCCGGUCCCAGUUCGGAUUGAGGUCUGCAACUCGACCUCAUGAAGUCGGAGUCGCUAGUAAUCGCAGAUCAGCAACGCUGCGGUGAAUACGUUCCCGGGUCUUGUACACACCGCCCGUCAAGUCAUGAAAGUCGGUAACACCUGAAGCCGGUGGCCCAACCCUUGUGGAGGGAGCCGUCGAAGGUGGGAUCGGUAAUUAGGACUAAGUCGUAACAAGGUAGCCGUACCGGAAGGUGCGGCUGGAUCACCUCCUUUCUA
rnacentral:rRNA from 1 species